rnacentral:rRNA from 1 species
UGGCUCAGGACGAACGCUGGCGGCGUGCCUAACACAUGCAAGUCGAGCGAGGAGAUCCUUCGGGAUGAUCCUAGCGGCGGACGGGUGAGUAACACGUGGGCAACCUGCCUCAUAGAGAGGAAUAGCCUUCCGAAAGGGAGAUUAAUACCUCAUAACAUUGCAGUUUCGCAUGGAACAGCAAUUAAAGGAGUAAUCCGCUAUGAGAUGGGCCCGCGGCGCAUUAGCUAGUUGGUGAGGUAACGGCUCACCAAGGCGACGAUGCGUAGCCGACCUGAGAGGGUGAUCGGCCACAUUGGGACUGAGACACGGCCCAGACUCCUACGGGAGGCAGCAGUGGGGAAUAUUGCACAAUGGGGGAAACCCUGAUGCCAGCAACGCCGCGUGAGUGAUGACGGCCUUCGGGUUGUAAAGCUCUGUCUUCAGGGACGAUAAUGACGGUACCUGAGGAGGAAGCCACGGCUAACUACGUGCCAGCCGCCGC